rnacentral:lncRNA from 1 species
UGGGGUCAAUCCGGAGUCACUCCUGAUUGCAGUGGAGUCAGGGCCAGAGUCAGAUCUCAGCUCCCCCAGGGUCAAUCCGGAGUCACUCCUAAUUGCAGUGGAGCCAGGGCCAGAGUCUGAUCUCAGCUCCCAUGGGGUCAAUCUGGAGUCACUCCUGAUUGCAAUGUGGGCAGGGCUGGAUUCUGAUCUCAGGUCCCCUGGGGUCAAUCUGGAAUCACUCCUGAUUGCAAUGGGGCCAGGGCCGGAUUCUGAUCCCCGCUCCUCCGGGAUCAAUCCGGAGUCACUCCCGAUUGUAAUAGGGGCAAGGCUGGAUUCUGAUCUCGGCACCCCCAGGUCAAAGCAGAGACACCCAGCCAGCCUUGGGGGCACUGAUGUGGGAACUCACCAGGACAUCUCUCCCCCAGCCAGUCUCCCCGCGAGUGAAACGACUUCCGUCAACACCGAGAACGUGGGUGAAGAGGAACAUCACGCCACCUGCUGCGCCGUGUACCUAGGCAAAAUCUCGAAGACGAAAUUCUG